AUGGAGCGGUGGUGUAAUGAAGCCGAUAUAAAGUGGGCAGUUGAAAAGGAACUAAAGAAGGGCACUCAAGUGAGAAAUGAAGAAAUGUGCCGAGAGCGGUCUGCGGGCCGCCUCCGGCCCAGCUGCGGGAGCGGGAGCGGGCCGCGCCCGGCGCCGGGGCAGGGGGACAGCCCGCGCCUCCGGCCGCCCGGACCACCCACUCGCCGCGCCCCGGCCCCGGGAUUACCGAGCGCUUCCGACCGCCCGCCGCCUCCCCGGGCCGCGGGGCACCGGCGGGACGGCGAGCUCCGGGGAGCUGCAGCAGCGCGCCCAAACCUCCGCAGCGAUUCCUCGCCGCCCGUCUUCCCCGUGCCCUCCGGCCGGACCCCGGGCGCGGUGCCCCGGCUCUCGGAGGGGGCACAGAGGAGCAGCGGGACCCGCUUUAGCGAUGCACCGCCACGGCCAGGCCGAGCUGAGGCUGCACUCGGGCACUCUGGCUUUGUGGCGCCCUUGGCGAGGGGCUGGUGGGGCUCUCUGGGCACUGCCGCAUCCCUGCGAGCCUGCCUGUCCUUCAAAAGGAAACAAACAGAAAAACACCACCACCCUGAAACAGCAACUCCACCAGAAAAAUAAAUUUUAAAACCCCCCAACUAAGCCCAAGAGUUUGAAAUAAAAAGAUUAAUUUUAAACCAUCCAAAGCCUUUUAACCUUGUGUCCAUAGAUGGCUCCACUGAAGACAAGCCUCAGGAGGACGUAAACCUCCUGCACUCACAUACAAGGACAAGGACCUCCACUGCCUGCUCUGGCUCUUCUACAUUACAUAGAUAAGCUCCUAAAUAACUUACAGUCCAG
rnacentral:lncRNA from 12 species